AUAAAAGCAGGGACCUAUUGCCGAUAAAAAUGUGAAUCGGUCUCUCGUAAACGUCAGGGAAAUAUAGCUGGGCAUCGUUAUUGGGUGAACCUCUUGAUUAAUUCAUGAUGGAAAAGGUUCAGUAAACGAAGCUAUAUUC